rnacentral:snRNA from 1 species
AAAUAUGAGGGCUAUUUGGCUGCAACAUCUGUCACCCCAUUGAUCACCAGGGUUGAUUUGGCUAAUCUGGCUGGCUAGGCCGGUGUCCCCUUCCUCCCUCUCCGUCCCGUGUGCAUCCCUCCCGAAGCUGUGUGUUCAGUCAAAAAGGAUGACCAUCACUGAUAGAGGAGGACUGGUCUUCAGUCAAGGNNNNNN